GGAAUUCCUUGAUAUAUCUAACAACAAUUUUAGUGGUGUGAUCCUCGAAAAUCUUUCAUCAAAUUUGAGGGUGUUUAAUGUGUCUAACAAUGAAUUAAGUGGUGCUAUCCCGGAUAACUUGAGAAACUUUAAUGAAAGUUCAUUUCGUCCUGGAAACUCAAAUUUGGCAAUCCCAAGCAACUGGUUACAUGAUAAUCAUGGCAAUCCUGAUCAAAAUAGUCAGCACCAUCAUAACUCGAAAUCCAGUAUCAGGGUGGCUAUUAUUCUUGCCUCAGU
rnacentral:misc_RNA from 1 species